GCCCAGUGAAGUAUAUUUCAACGGCCGCGGUAUCUUAACCGUGCAAAGGUAGCAUAAUCACUUGCCCAUUAAUUGUGGGCUAGAAUGAAAGGACUAACGAAAUAAAGACUGUCUCUAUAAGUUAAAUAAAAAUUAAUUUCUAACUGAAGAUUGUUAGAUUCCGUUGAAGGACAAGAAGACCCUAUAGAGCUUUAUUCUAAUAAACAUCUUAAAUUUUUAUAAAAUUCGGUUGGGGUGACCGGGGAAACUAAAUAUCAUCCCUAUAAAAAAGAUAAAUAAAUCUUAUACAUGACCCUUAAUAAAGAUCACCAAACUAAGCUACCUUAGGGAUAACAGGCUAAUCACACUAAAGAGUCCUUAUCAAUAGUGUGGUUUGGCACCUCGAUGUUGGCUUAGGGAAUCUAUAUGGCGUAAAAGUCAUAUAAAGAUGGUUUGUUCAACCAAUAAUACCCUACAUGAGCUGAGUUCAGACCGGCGUAAGCCAGGUUAGUUUCUAUCCUCAAUUACUCAAUCUAUUUAUAGUACGAAAGGACCUAAAUAUGAAUAAUAAUUAUACCCUGAGAAUACCUAUAAAGACUCAUUAAGCAUACUUACAUAUAAAUUAUAAGAUAGGUUGGCAGAAUAAUGCUACCGACUUAGAAUCGGCACAUGGAUAUAAUCCACUUAUCAAAUUGCAACUUAGUUCAACUAGAACAAUCAACUUGCACUUGAUAAGAGAGUAACCUCAGUAGCGGCUUAAAGUUUUGGAAACACUGGAUCUUGAAAGUCCACUUAAGAUGUUCGACUCAUCUUUAAGUCUAUCAAGAUGGCAGAAUA
rnacentral:rRNA from 1 species